GCUGGGUGUGGUGGUGCACACCUGUAAUCCCAGCUUCUCAGGAGGCUGAGGCAGGAGAAUUACUUGAACCCUGGGAGGCAGAGGUUGCAGUGAGCUGAGAUCAUGCCACUGCACUCCAGCCUGGGUGACAGAGUGAGUCUCUCUCUCUC
ensembl:misc_RNA Metazoa_SRP Metazoan signal recognition particle RNA